GACGUAGGGCGCAAGCGUUGUCCGGAUUUAUUGGGCGUAAAGAGCUCGUAGGCGGCUCGUUGCGUCGGCUGUGAAAACCCGCAGCUCAACUGUGGGCUUGCAGCCGAUACGGGCGGGCUGGAGUUCGGUAGGGGAGACUGGAAUUCCGGGUGUAGCGGUGGAAUGCGUAGAGAUCCGGAAGAACACCGGUGGCGAAGGCGGUCUGCUGGGCAGUUGCUGACACUGAGGCGCGACAGCGUGGGGAGCAAACAGG
rnacentral:rRNA from 1 species